rfam:Lepisosteus oculatus linkage group LG7, whole genome shotgun sequence.
GCCAGCAGCCAUAUCACCCUGCAACUCACAACUGGCAGCCCACUGAAGCUCAGCAGGUGUGAGCCUGGUCAGUACCUGGGUGGGAGACCCCUGGGAAAAACUAAGGUUGCUGCUGGAA